CCUACGGGAGGCAGCAGUGAGGAAUAUUGGUCAAUGGGCGCGAGCCUGAACCAGCCAAGUCGCGUGAAGGAUGACUGCCCUAUGGGUUGUAAACUUCUUUUAUAAAGGAAUAAAGUGAGGCACGUGUCCUGUUUUGUAUGUACCUUAUGAAUAAGGAUCGGCUACCUCCGUGCCAGCAGCCGCGGUAAUACGGAGGAUCCGAGCGUUGUCCGGAUUUAUUGGGUUUAAAGGGAGCGUAGAUGGGUUUUUAAGUCAGUUGUGAAAGUUGGGGGCUCAACCGUAAAAUUGCAGUUGAUACUGGCGGUCUUGAGUACAGGUGAGGUAGGCGGAAUUCGUGGUGUAGCGGUGAAAUGCUUAGAUAUCACGAAGAACACCGAUUGCGAAGGCAGCUUACUAAACUACCACUGACGCUGAGGCUCGAAAGUGUGGGUAUCAAACAGGAUUAGAUACCCGGGUAGUC
rnacentral:rRNA from 1 species